rnacentral:rRNA from 1 species
UACGUAGGUGGCAAGCGUUGUCCGGAUUUACUGGGCGUAAAGAGCGCGCAGGCGGUCGUACAAGUCGCGUGUGAAAGCCCCCGGCUCAACUGGGGAGGGUCACGCGAUACUGUUCGACUCGAAGGCAGGAGAGGGAAGCAGAAUUCCCGGUGUAGUGGUGAAAUGCGUAGAUAUCGGGAGGAACACCAGUGGCGAAAGCGCCUUGCUGGACCAAUACUGACGCUGAGGAACGAAAGCUAGGGUAGCGAAAGGG